CUAGACCCAUACCUGCCCAUCAUGUGGUUGCGGCCUUGGUCUAGCCUAUGUGUCUGAGGCUCCUAGACAGGCAAAGGCCAUGAAGUUGGGGAGAACCUGUGAGAUGGGGUGAAACUCAGGAAGGAGUAUAAGGCUGUGGGUGUCAAGCCCCCCAGCCCCAGCAAAGCUAAAUACUUCCAGCAGCAACUUCCUAGCUUGAAGCAACCUUGUCUGUUCAAUUUUAUAAUCACAAAGGAAAAAGUGUCCCAGUCCCCUGGCCUUUCCUCUCAUCGCAAUCCCCUUCCUCUGACAUCACAGAGGUAAGAACUGUCUUCUCUGCUCAGAGCACUGAGUCAAGGGCAUCUCCAGGACAGACAUUCAGGCAGAGCAAGUUCCAGGUUUCACCACAAUGCCCAUCCCUGCCUCCCCACUCCACCCACUUCUGCCUUCCUUACUGCUGUAUCUGCUGCUUGAACUGGCAGGAACUUCAGAUGAAGAGUUCCAGGUGAACCAGCCUCAGACUUUAGUGUCAGUCAAUCCCGGAGAUGUCCUAACCCUGGCCUGCAAUAUGUCUGCUCUGUCCCCAGAAGGGCCUGUCUUGUGGUUCAAGAGCACUGGGCCAGGACAACAAUUAAUCUAUAGUUUCAAUGGAAGCCACUUCCCCAGAGUAACUCCAGUGGAAAACACAAUGGUUGAUCAAACUGACUAUUCCAUUCGCAUCAGUGACGUGUUGCCAGAGGAUGCUGGCACCUACUACUGUGUGAAGUUAAGGGUAGGACACCCUGACAUGGAGUUUUUCUCUGGUCCAGGCACCAUCGUGUAUGUGAAUGGUGAAGACAGCCUGAUGCACUUUAUUCCUUGGGUUUAUGAAGAUGAAUCUUUAAAACCCUUCACCAUGUACCAAAUCAUCACUACAUACUGAACACCGUGCUCCUUUAUCCACAAACUACCCUGUAGACUAGGUUUCUACCAAUGGCCUUUCUAGUGAGCCAUUCUGGACAACCUGUGCCAAAUACUGAAUCAAGCUAUGUUGACAAGCCACAUCCUUCUCUGAUGCCAACCCCACCAGAACCCAAUGACAUAGGAGACAUUUACAAAUAAAAAGAUACUGGAUAUGCAAGGUGCAACUACAUGUGUGCACUGCGUGGCCUAAAUUGUAAGAAAACUGGGCCCUAGAAGGCUGACUGACUUCUAAGGUUUUACGAAGAAACCUGGGCCCAGGAGCCACACAUGUGUUCCAUGUGCAACAAACGGAGAUGUCACAGACUGUAUCAACUGGGGAGUCAAUCAUCUUGAGUUGCAGCGUACCUGAUACCUUACCAAAUGGACCUGUCUUGUGGUUCAAGGGAACAGGGCC